rnacentral:tRNA from 3 species
GUCCCCAUCGUCUAGAGGCCUAGGACACCGCCCUUUCACGGCGGUAACACGAGUUCGAAUCUCGUUGGGGAUGCCA